rnacentral:sRNA from 1 species
GGGGACUGUGGGUUCGUGUCCCACCAGGG